rnacentral:rRNA from 1 species
UACGUAGGGCGCAAGCGUUGUCCGGAAUUACUGGGCGUAAAGGGCUCGUAGGCGGCCAACUAAGUCAGACGUGAAAUCCCUCGGCUUAACCGGGGAACUGCAUCUGAUACUGGAUGGCUUGAGUUCGGGAGAGGGAUGCGGAAUUCCAGGUGUAGCGGUGAAAUGCGUAGAUAUCUGGAAGAACACCAAUGGCGAAGGCAAUGUUCUGGCUCGUUUCUGACGCUCAGGUGCGAAAGCCAGGGGAGCGAACGGG